rnacentral:rRNA from 1 species
UACGUAGGGACCGAGCGUUGUCCGGAAUCAUUGGGCGUAAAGAGCGUGUAGGCGGCCACUUAAGUCCUGCGUGAAAUCUUGCGGCUCAACCGCAAGCGGUCGUGGGAAACUGGGUGGCUAGAGUGCGGGAGAGGAGAGUGGAAUUCCUGGUGUAGCGGUGGAAUGCGCAGAUAUCCGGAGGAACACCAAAGGCGAAGGCAGUGUCCUGGGGAGUACCUGACGCUCAGGUGCGAAAGCCAGGGGAGCGAACGGG